rnacentral:lncRNA from 1 species
AUGACUUUUGUGCGGACUUUUCCGGAGGAGCCGGCCGCCCUCUCUGUGGGGCCGCCUCCCGCCCGGAGGAGCCGCUUCCUCCGAGGUCAAGGUCGUUGGUUCUCGCUCUCCAGAGGCGCGAGGGAAACGCGGAGGGGACGCAGUCCGCGCCUCCCGCCUUCCACGGUGCCGGCACUGCCCGCCGCCGCCUCGGUGGGGACCGGGUCUCGGGGUCCCGGCGUCUCCCUAGCCUACCUCGCCACUUUCCCCAGCGCGCGGUGGGGGUCGCAGCCAAGGGCAUGCCCUGCAGCCGCAGCCGGAACCGACGGCGCCUGCUUUCCCCUUCCACCCGGAGGCGGUGACCGAGCCUCACCUAUUUCCAAGCCUGUGUUUCCACAAAAGACGGGAAGCAAUAAAAGUGGCCCCAGGAGAUUCCGGAAAUCUCUACAAAGAGAAAGUGGCCGUUCGCCUUUCCUUCAGCCGACAAGGCUUCACUGUCAAGCAUGGGGUUCUCGUGAACCUCCAAAUGACAGGACCAGCACAGCAACAACCUCUCAACCAGCACCCCACCCCCUCCAUUGUGGCAGCAGCCGUGGGAGCAGGGGCCAGGAGACUUGUCUGUCUUCUAGGAGAGCGGCGGUGAUUAUAGCGGCUAGAUCCUUACAAACCACCAAAAAGGUGGAGUUUGUCCCGGCGCUGCACAAAAUCAGCAGCAGCGUGAUCAAACAGGGUAAACUUCAGAAAAAGCAGUUUGUUCAGAUGUGAUCAGCAGUGAACUCAGAAUCAGCUGAGUGACACUGA